CAGGUCUGUAGCAAUACAGAUGCUGGCGACCGGCAAACGGGUGCGGAACACGUACACAACCUUCCUUUAAGUGGGGGAUAGCCCGGCGAAAGCCGGAUUAAUACCCCGUAACAUAUUGAAUAGGCAUCUAUUUAAUAUUAAAGCUCCGGCGCUUAAUGAUGGGUGUGCGCCUGAUUAGGUAGUUGGCGGGGUAACGGCCCACCAAGCCUACGAUCAGUAACUGGUGUGAGAGCACGACCAGUCACACGGGCACUGAGACACGGGCCCGACUCCUACGGGAGGCAGCAGUAAGGAAUAUUGGUCAAUGGACGCAAGUCUGAACCAGCCAUGCCGCGUGGAGGAUGAAGGUCCUCUGGAUUGUAAACUUCUUUUAUCUGGGACGAAAAAGGGUCUUUCUAGAUCAACUGACGGUACCAGAUGAAUAAGCACCGGCUAACUCCGUGCCAGCAGCCGCGGUAAUACGGAGGGUGCAAGCGUUAUCCGGAUUCACUGGGUUUAAAGGGUGCGUAGGUGGGUCUGUAAGUCAGUGGUGAAAUCUCCGAGCUUAACUUGGAAACUGCCAUUGAUACUAUAGAUCUUGAAUAUUGUGGAGGUCAGCGGAAUAUGUCAUGUAGCGGUGAAAUGCUUAGAUAUGACAUAGAACACCAAUUGCGAAGGCAGCUGGCUACACAUAUAUUGACACUGAGGCACGAAAGCGUGGGGAUCAAACAGGAUUAGAUACCCUGGUAGUCCACGCCCUAAACUAUGGAUACUCGACAUUUGCGAUACACUGCGAGUGUCUGAGCGAAAGCAUUAAGUAUCCCACCUGGGAAGUACGAUCGCAAGAUUGAAACUCAAA
rnacentral:rRNA from 1 species